GGCCUCAAGUCCUCCCUGUCCUGGUCCACGUGGUGUGCACCUUCAGACUCUGUCUUCCUGGAGGGCACUCGGAAGUUUGGGUCCACUGACACCAGUUCACUCAGCAGGAGAACACAAUGGCCUCCCUUGGAGCCAGCCGUCCCGUGCUAUGGCCGGGCACAAGGCGCGAUGUGCACCCCUACACGUUGGUGACUGCACCCGGGCCUCCCAGGGGCCCGCCGGGUCUGCUGAGGACCUCCGACGCGCAGGUUGCUUUCGGGCCUUGGGGCUCUUCAGGUCCUCUUCGGGCCAUUCCUGCCCGCCCUCCCCGCCGUGCACGUUGAUUGCGCCCUGGGCGGGAGGCGAGCGGGGCCGGGGCCAUGCAUAAUUCCCGGGCUUAAUGGAGCAGCUGCCCGCGCGGGGCGGGUGCAGGCGCAGCUGACCCUGCAGCCGUCUGGCCUCGCGGGGCAGGCGCGCUCCUUUCUUCCCAGUCUGCUUCGGCCGGGGUCGGGGAAAGGGGUGGGGGUUGGGCAAGCCGAAAGGCCACUCCUGGGGGGAGGGUCCGUCCUUCCAGUUUCCAUUCUUGCAACUUUUGCUUUGGGCUUGGGGGUGGGAGCAUCGAGUCGUAGCCGCUCGGAUCCGCUCCUACUGAAGUUGCAGUGCGGGUUUCCGCAGAGCGCGCCGAAGUCCCAGACUCCUUUUUUCCCCUUCUUUCCUUUUAUGUGCCCCUUCCUCCACCCCUACCUCUACCCCGGCACCUUGGCGGCCCCAAGUCCAGCCGCAGUCCAGCAAGCACACCGCUGGCUCCCCGCCAGCCUCUUUCCCGGGCUGCAGGAGAGGGAUGGAGGCGGGGACCCAAGGUCAAGGGCGGGAAGGCCGCCUGCCUUGCGGCCCUUUGUGCACAGGCCGCCCCUCCCCCCACCGCUCUCCCCCUCUGCCCACCGUGACUGCGCCAAGUCGAGUGACCCCUGACUAGGGGGAUUGUAUUUCAGAAGCUGCUGGAAGCUGCCAUUGGCCUCUUCCCUGAAGCCGCCACUGCGAGGGGCAGAUCUCACAGCCCUUGUGACUUUUGUCCUGGCUCCUGGGGCCACUCAGGGACCCUCUCCCCCGCUCUCACUUUUGCGGACGUCGAUCAGAUGGGAUCUUAAGCUCACCUUGGCCUAAGGAUCCAGGUGAGCCCGGAAGGCCGGGGCCUGAGUUCUCUCCUGCAAACUUGAGUUCCUGCAGGGCAGCCAGGCUUGCCCCAUAGUGGGAGAUCAGGACCUCUUGUUUCUUUGAAACACUCGGGGACAAAAGUUUUCUCAAUUGUGCGGGAAUGGGACCCGCCACUGGGGUCGAUCGGAACGCAUAGGAUUACUGGGAAUAGAGUCAGCUCCCUAAUCAACCUUUGCCACUUCUCUUACCACACCGCUAGAGAGAAUUUGUAUGCAAAUGUUAUCUUGCUAGAAUUUCUGGUCCUGUGUCUUAAAAGUUGGCCUCGUGGUUGAAGCUCUCCCAGAGCUGGAAAAACAGUACCCAAAAACCGUGUGUUGUUUGCCUGUGAAUUUGCCUUACCUGAGACAUCGUUUGCAGCAUAGGAUUGGGCCCAAUUCUCUGUUCUCCAUUUUUCAGAAAUAGGUCUGAGCUAGACUGAAUCGAUACAUUAUAACAGUAGGUAGGCAAGGUGGUUUAAAAAAUGUGUGUCCACGUGCACUUAAAGUUUGGGCCUGAUGGUAGGCUGUGCCUUCUGCCCUGUCUGGGUUCUGUGUCAAUAAUACCUUCCUGGUAUUUUGAGAGAAAGUUGAUCU
rnacentral:lncRNA from 1 species